rnacentral:rRNA from 1 species
AAGGAGCACCACGAAAAGCAUCCCAACUGGUGGGGUGCGAGCCGUGAGGGGUUCUCGUCUGUAGUGGACGAGGGCCGGGUGCGCGGCAACGAACAAGCCAGACACACUAUUGGGUCCUGAGGCAACACUCAGGCUUGGCCAGAGCUGUUGUCCCACCAUCUUGGUGGUGGGGUGUGGUGUUUGAGAAUUGGAUAGUGGUUGCGAGCAUCAAUUGGAUGCGCUGCCCUCGUGGUGGCGUGUUCUUUUGUGCAAUUUUAAUUCUUUGGUUUUUGUGU